GUGUUAUCUAAAAAAUUUAUCUGUCGAUGUCUAUUUUUUUUUUUUACUUAAAGUAAGUGCAUAGUUACGCCUCCUAAGAACAAUGCUGCUCAAAGCCUUUUUCAUUUGCACGGUGCUGGGCUGCUCCGCCGAGGACACUAAAAGCUUCCACGAUUUCUUGAUUUGAUGUGGGUUUCUCGCUGUAUUCUUUUUCUACAUCACCAGUAUCAGAUUGUUCAAGUCUUUGAGAAUUCAAAACCGCAGUGCAGUAUCAAUUAUCCGUGUAUUUUUUUAUUUCAUCAAAAUAUGUUCGAACAAUAUGACCAAGCGUGCAACAGCGCGUUGCACAUUAAAAUAAUUGCGUUAAAAAAAAAAAAAAUCCGAUCGAUAACGAUACCUGCGUCGAUUUUGGACCGAAAUCUUCGCCGCGAAGAUCGGAUAUAUGACAAACGUCCGGCAACAUCUCGAGAGCGGAUUUUUAAAAAAUUUCAAAUCACUAGAACCGCACUUGGAUUUCGUUGAUACGGAUACACAGUCGGGUGGGUACGUCUAUAAUAAUACACUCUAUGUAUAUAUAAUAUAUUUAGUUAUUUUUAUGCACGUUGCAUACAUAUUAAUGAUCGCGAACCUUGUAAAUUUCGUCAUUAUAAUGAAUAUAUAUGUAUAUUAUUAUUAUGCUAUCACAUUGCGAUUCCGACGUUUCGAGAAAACUGCACCGAUCG